AAUCCCCUGAGAAUUCAGAUGCAAUGCAAGGAAUUCACUGUCUGUUAAAUAAAUCUCUGCAACAAAUAAGCAAAUAUUAAUUUUUAAGUGAAACUAAAAACUUUCAACCUUAAUUCUUUAGCGGGCAAUGCAGAUUCAUUUUUUUCUAGCCAAAUCCAGCAGAGGGCAGGAUACUCCCAUCAACGCCAGCUGGUUGCAGCCUCCGGCCAAAGCAAUGCGACUCCAACUCUCAGGAACAGUCUUCUGGCAUUACAGCAAUCAUUUUCUCACCUGGAUCGGAAAAAGGCUUGACUCAGGAGCACCUCCUCCAGGAAGUUUCUAGAAGUCCUGGCCUUGGUAGUCAUCAUCUAAAAAUGUUUGCCAAGUGCACUACUAGGUUGAAGUUCCACUCCCAAUGUGCUGACCUUGGGAAAUGGGGUUCCUGGAAGGUGACUGAGUUUAGAUGAAAUCAUGAGGAUGAAGCCCUCAUGAAAGGUUUUGACCCCUCAGAAGAAGAAGAAACCAGAACUUCCUCUUUUCCAUGUGAAGAUUGAGCAAGAAGGUAGCUGUCUAUAACUCAUGAACAAGA